AGUGGGAUAGCUGGGUCAAAUGGUGGUUCCAUUCCAAGUUUUCUGAGGAAUUUUCAUACUGCUUUCCAGAGUGGUUGCACCAAUUUGCAGUCCCACCAGCAAU
rnacentral:pre_miRNA from 1 species